rnacentral:rRNA from 1 species
CAGUCGCCGCGGGAAUACGUAGGUCCCGAGCGUUGUCCGGAUUUAUUGGGCGUAAAGGGAGCGCAGGCGGUUUAGUAAGUCUGAAGUUAAAGGCAUUGGCUCAACCAAGGUAUGCUUUGGAAACUGUUAGACUUGAGUGCAGAAGGGGAGAGUGGAAUUCCAUGUGUAGCGGUGAAAUGCGUAGAUAUAUGGAGGAACACCGGUGGCGAAAGCGGCUCUCUGGUCUGUCACUGACGCUGAGGCUCGAAAGCGUGGGUAGCGAACAGGAUUAGAUACCCGCGUAGUCCCUGUCUCUUAUACA